AUUGAACGCUGGCGGCAGGCCUAACACAUGCAAGUCGAGCGGAUGAAGGGAGCUUGCUCCUGGAUUCAGCGGCGGACGGGUGAGUAAUGCCUAGGAAUCUGCCUGGUAGUUGGGGAUAACGUCCGGAAACGGGCGCUAAUACCGCAUACGUCCUGAGGUAGAAAGUGGGGGAUCUUCGGACCUCACGCUAUCAGAUGAGCCUAGGUCGGAUUAGCUAGUUGGUGGGGUAAAGGCCUACCAAGGCGACGAUCCGUAACUGGUCUGAGAGGAUGAUCAGUCACACUGGAACUGAGACACGGUCCAGACUCCUACGGGAGGCAGCAGUGGGGAAUAUUGGACAAUGGGCGAAAGCCUGAUCCAGCCAUGCCGCGUGUGUGAAGAAGGUCUUCGGAUUGUAAAGCACUUUAAGUUGGGAGGAAGGGAAGUAAGUUAAUACCUUGCUGUUUUGACGUUACCAACAGAAUAAGCACCGGCUAACUUCGUG
rnacentral:rRNA from 1 species